GACGGAUAUAAUGGGACGGAGAGGAAUAAAACUCUUAAAAGAAGCGGAGGAUCAUGUUGUCCGCGACAAGACCGACGUACCGGAGGCUGAACACGGAAACAAUUAUAAAGGUCACAUUAAGAAGACUGGAACUAACAUUAGAUACAGGCUGUGGAGAAGCACAUGAUGAAGUUUAUUAACAAUUGCAAAGUUCCAAGGAGACGGACUGCAUGCGAUGUAAAGAAGCGAAACUACUUGCUCACCAGUUGUUCGCUCUUAAGUUUUAUAUCACAAAUUAUAUCUCCGUUCUAAACAGAAAAGGUUCAGCACAUUAAUUGACACACUAAGUUUCCGAGGUUUGUAUGGAAGCCUGCUUCAAAACAAAAAAAUUGUUUUAUGCAAUAUUUGUUUACUGUUCAUACUGAUGAGUUUUGAAAAUGUCAUAUACUGUAUAACAUCUUUUUAAUAAAUAGUAAUAAGACUUAA